UCCAGAGAGGGCGCGACAGUCGAUUUAAUGUUUCGUUACCUCUAAAAUGGCUUCUAAUUCUAAUUGAACAAUAAAUAGAUGAUAAAACCUAAUCAUUCCGUCCAAUUAUUUUGUUGGUAUGACUUAUCGAUGACAAUUGCUUAGGGUGCCUUAGCGUUGAAAGUUAUAAAGUUGUGUAACAAUUCUAUUUUGCUUAACAUUCUCCUUUAUGCAUUGAUUGAUGACUUUCUCAAUAAAAAGUCAAAAUGGGAUGAAAAGAUUCUUAUCAGAAACUAGAUAACUAUAUAUAAAAGAAAAAGUGGGAAAACAAAGGAAAACAGAAUCAAGGAAAGUUAUGGCUUAUAGAACAGUUUUUGUUCUUAGCAGUAUUAUUUUCUGGAUUUGUUGUAUAGAAUGUCACCCGAUACAAGAUACAAGUUUGCCGUUUGAUGAUUUAACAGGCCAUGCUGUAAUACCAUCGUUGUUAUCUGUAUGUUUCCUAAUAUCUGUUGUUGCCAUAUUAGGUUUUUGUGUUUGUUGUUCUAAUCGUAACUUAAAGGUCAGUUGAAACAUUUAUUAUGUA